CAGCAGCCGCGGUAAUACGAAGGGUGCAAGCGUUACUCGGAAUUACUGGGCGUAAAGCGUGCGUAGGUGGUGGUUUAAGUCCGUUGUGAAAGCCCUGGGCUCAACCUGGGAAUUGCAGUGGAUACUGGGUCACUAGAGUGUGGUAGAGGAUAGUGGAAUUUCCGGUGUAGCAGUGAAAUGCGUAGAGAUCGGAAGGAACAUCUGUGGCGAAGGCGACUAUCUGGGCCAACACUGACACUGAGGCACGAAAGCGUGGGAAGCAAACAGGAUUAGAUACCCAGUAGUCCCUGUCUCUUAUACC
rnacentral:rRNA from 1 species